AUGGUCGGACACCAAGCCUGUGUGAAGCUCCUUCGACGAGUCGAGUAGUUUGGGAAUGCUGCUCUAAAUGGGAGGUAAAUCUCUUCUAAAGCUAAAUACCGGCCAGAGACCGAUACCGAACAAGUAGAGUGAUCGAAAGAUGAAAAGCACCUUGAAAAGGGGGUUAAAUAGUACGUGAAAUUGUUGAAAGGGAAGCACUUGUGACCAGACUUGGGCCGGGCGGCUCAUCAGGGGUUCUCCCCUGUGCACUCCGCCCGGCACAGGCCAGCAUCGGUUCUCGUGGGGGGAUAAGACCGUCAGGAACGUAGCACCCUCCGGGGUGUGU
rnacentral:rRNA from 1 species